rnacentral:lncRNA from 1 species
UUCCUGAGUCUGGCAGACUCUGCACUUUUCCUGUACAAAGGCUGACAUUUAUUUUCUACCAACUUAACACUGAUUGACAGAGCUGCGAAGAAACAUAUAGGUGUCUGUAUUAUAUCUAACUGAGUCAAGAGUUUGAAAGCACCAUCCACUGGACUCUGCCCCAGGCGCUCCACCCGGGCUCGGGAGGACUCUGCACAGGAAUAUCUGUCCAGCAAGUACCUUCAAGGUCUCCUGAAAGGUCGGGUCCACGGUGUUCCUUUGGACUCCAGUCUUGCGCUUUCCCUGGGAGGAUCUGUCGGGCAACAGGUUAAGCUUUUUGUGAAAAUACUCGAAAUCGGCCAGGAGGCCAGGCGCAGAAGCUCACAACUAUAAUCCCAGCACUUUGGGAGGAUGAAGUGGACGGAUCACCUGAGGUCAGGAGUUCCAGACCAGCCUGGCCAGCAUGGUGAAACCCUGUCUCUACUAAAAAUACAAAAAUUAGCCAGGCAUGAUGGCAUGUACCUGUAAUCCCAGCUACUCAGGAGGCUGAGGCAGGAGAAUCGCUUGUACCUGGGAGAUGGAGGUUGCAGUGAGCCGAGAUCGCGCCACUGCACUCCAGCCUGGGCAAUAAAGCGAAAUUCCAUCUCAAAAAAGAAAAACAAAACAACCCAAAAACUGGCCAGGCACCUGGCUCAGGGAGGAUUCCAUAAGCCAGGAAUUUGAGACCAGCGUGGGCAAUACACAGGGAGAACUCAUCUCCACGAAAAAUUUAAAAGUCAACUGGGUGUGGUGGUGUGCACCUGUAGUCCCAGCUACUCGACGCCCGAAGUUGGAGGAUCACCUGAGCCCAGGAGGUCAAGGCUGAAGUGAGCCAUGAUAACAUCACUGCAUUCCAGCCUAGACGGCAAAGCAAGACUCUGUCUCAAAAAAUCAAACCAAAACAAAAAAUCCCUCAAAACUCCAUCUCUAAUUCUUCACAGUUCAUUUACUCUUAAGUUACUGAGCAUUACACAUUCAUGCAAUCUCAAAUAUGUAAAACAGAAUAUAUAAAAUAUACCUAUACGGUUGGAAGCAUUAUAAUAAAGUGCACACCCAUGUACCCCUGCCCCCCAGCUUAGGAAACAGAACAUAACCAGUGACUUCCCUAUCACAGUCCUGCCCGUAACCAGGUAAUAACCACGUUGGAUUUUAUAUUUAUCACCCCCUUGGUUUUCUUUAUGGUUUCACCAUUUUGAUGUGUCUCCUUAAACAAUGUACUGCUUAGUUUUCCCUGUUUUUGAACUUUUAUAUAAAUGGGAUCAUUCUGUAUACAUUCUUCCAUAAUUUGCUUUUUUUCACUCAAUAUUAUGUUUGGGAUUCAUCUAUGUUGCUGUAACUGCCGCUCAUUCAUCUCUAAUCCUACGUAUCAUUCCACUGAAUGAAUACACAAGUCAUUUAUCCUGUUGAUGAACAUUUGUCUUAUGUCCUAGUUUUUCCCUCUGCUCAUGGUGCACAUGUGCAAGCACUUCUCUUGGCAUAUAACCAGGAGUGAUAGGGUAUAUGCCCCUUCAACUCUUCUAGAUGAUGCCAAAUUACCAAUUCAAUCUCUUUAACAGAUAUAGAGUUAUUCAGGUUUUCUAUUUCAUUUCAUGUCAGUUUUGGCAAUUUGUGUCUCUUGAGAAUGUGUCGAUUUCAGCCAGGUGUGGUGGCUCAUGCCUGUAAUCCCAGCAUUUUGGGAGGCCAAGGCGGAAGGAUUGCAUGAGCCCAGGAGUUUGAGACCAGCUUGGGCAACAUAGUGGGACCUCAUCACUACUGAAAAUUUUUUUUAAUUGGCUGGGCACGGUGGUGUGCACCUGUGAUCCCAGCUACUUGGGAGGCUAAGGCAGUAGGACCAGUUGAGCUCAGGAGUUUGAGACCAGCCUGGGCAACAUAGUGAGACCUCAUUUCUUAAAAAAAAAAAAAAAAAAAAAAAAAGAGAGAAAGAAAAGAAGGUGUUCAUUUCAUCUAAGCUGUUAAAUUUAUUAGCACAAAGUUUUACAUAAUAUCCCCUUAUUAUAUAUUUUUUUCUUUCUUUUUUUUUUUUUUUUUUUUCAGACAGAGUCUCACUUGGUUGCCCAGGCUGGAGUACAGUGGCACAAUCUUAGCUCACAAUCACAGCCCUCCUGGGCUGAGGUGAUUCUCCCACCUCAGCCUCCCAAGUAGCUGGGACUACAGGUGUGUGCCACCACACCUGGCUAAUUUUUAUUUAUUAU